rnacentral:tRNA from 1 species
UCCCUGGUGGCUCAGAUGGUAAAGCGUCUGCCUGCAAUACAGGGGACCCGGGUUCAAUUCCUGGGUCUGGAA